GUAACAGAUAAGAUGAUCUCUUCGGAGUGAAUCUUUGCUGACGAGUGGCGGACGGGUGAGUAAUGCUUGGGAAUCUGCCCAACAGUGGGGGAAAACUCGAGGAAACUCGAGCUAAUACCGCAUAAGCUCUACGGAGGAAAGAGGGCCUCUACUUGUAAGCUCUCGCUGAUGGAUGAGCCCAAGUCAGAUUAGCUUGUUGGUAGGGUAAUGGCUUACCAAGGCAACGAUCUGUAGCUGGUCUGAGAGGAUGAUCAGCCACACUGGGACUGAGACACGGCCCAGACUCCUACGGGAGGCAGCAGUGGGGAAUAUUGCACAAUGGGCGCAAGCCUGAUGCAGCAAUGCCGCGUGUGUGAAGAAGGCCUUAGGGUUGUAAAGCACUUUCAAUAGAGAUGAAAAGCUUGAGAAUAAUACUUUCAAGUAUUGACGUAACCUAUAGAAGAAGCACCGGCUAAUUCCGUGCCAGCAGCCGCGGUAAUACGGAAGGUGCGAGCGUUAAUCGGAAUUACUGGGCGUAAAGCGCGCGUAGGCUGUUAAAUAAGUCGUAUGUGAAAUCCCCGGGCUUAACCUGGGAACUGCAUCCGAAACUAUUUAGCUAGAGUAUGGGAGAGGGAAGUAGAAUUUCCGGUGUAGCGGUGAAAUGCGUAGAUAUCGGAAGGGAAUACCAGUGGCGAAGGCGGCUUCCUGGACCAAUACUGACGCUGAGGUGCGAAAGCGUGG
rnacentral:rRNA from 1 species